rnacentral:rRNA from 1 species
GCCUACCACCAAGCCACUCUGAACAUGCCCGAUCUCGUCUGAUCUCAGAAGCUAAGCAGGGUCGGACCUGGUUAGUACUUGGAUGGGAGACCACCUUGGAAUGCCAGGUGCUAUAGGCA